rnacentral:lncRNA from 1 species
GGUGGUGGGGGUGAUGAGAGAGAGACAAAGGGGAAAGAGAGAGAAAUCGAGGAACGAGAUAGGGAAAGAAAGAAAAAAUUUAACAUCGAAAAAAGAGAGAAAGAAAGGAAGAAAGUGUUUCAUGAAGAAGAUGAGGGUCCUCUCAGAUCAUCCUAGAAAGACAACAAUAGAAGAACAACCAUCAGAAGAAAAAAAGAAAACAAAAUAAGAAUUUGAAAAUUUAUUUGUUUUGAACUUUGGCUGCCCUUUUGCCUCUGUCUCAAUUUGCCCUUACCUAUCACUCCCUUCUCAACCAACAUUGCAUUUCCUUCCUAUGCACCUACAAGAAGGAGAAUUCUUUUCUUGCGCCUUUUUGUCUUUUUUGCAUGGUAAUUUUCUCUCUAUAUAUCAAUGCUUAAUUAAUGAUUUCCUUCCCCUAGCCACACCUUUUUUUUUUGUUGCUUUUUUGUUGUUCACCUUGACACCAAAAAGCUUGAUUGCUGGUGGGGUUAUUCCAUUUUCUUAUUGUUAUGAUGUUGGUUGGUUAUUAAUUAUCUUAAUCUUAUUGAAAUUCAUUCAUUUUGUUAACUUUUCUUAUGGAUUGAUUUUAUUUCAGCUCCAUCAAUUGUUGAAGAUGAUUGAGAGGAAAUAUUGAGUUGAGUCAAUUAUGUCGUUGUUGAUCAAAAGCUUGUAACAAAGAGAU